rnacentral:tRNA from 1 species
GGCCGGUUGGCCCAAUGGCAAGGCGUCUGACUACGAUUGAAAGAGAUCGGUUGAUCAGGAGAUUCUGGGUUCGACCCCCAGGCUGGUCA